rnacentral:tRNA from 1 species
UAGCUCAGUCGGUAGAGCAUGAGAUUCUUAAUCUCAGGGUCAUGGGUUCGUGCCCCAU